rnacentral:rRNA from 2 species
CUUACAGAUGGACCCGCGGCGCAUUUAGCUAGUUGGUGAGGUAACGGCUCACCAAGGCAACGAUGCGUAGCCGACCUGAGAGGGUGAUCGGCCACACUGGGACUGAGACACGGCCCAGACUCCUACGGGAGGCAGCAGUAGGGAAUCUUCCGCAAUGGACGAAAGUCUGACGGAGCAACGCCGCGUGAGUGAUGAAGGUUUUCGGAUCGUAAAACUCUGUUGUUAGGGAAGAACAAGUACCGUUCGAAUAGGGCGGUACCUUGACGGUACCUAACCAGAAAGCCACGGCUAACUACGUGCCAGCAGCCGCGGUAAUACGUAGGUGGCAAGCGUUGUCCGGAAUUAUUGGGCGUAAAGCGCGCGCAGGCGGUUUCUUAAGUCUGAUGUGAAAGCCCCCGGCUCAACCGGGGAGGGUCAUUGGAAA